rnacentral:rRNA from 1 species
GAAUGCUGACAUAAGUAACGAUAAAGCGGGUGAAAAGCCCGCUCGCCGGAAGACCAAGGGUUCCUGUCCAACGUUAAUCGGGGCAGGGUGAGUCGACCCCUAAGGCGAGGCCGAAAGGCGUAGUCGAUGGGAAACAGGUUAAUAUUCCUGUACUUGGUGUUACUGCGAAGGGGGGACGGAGAAGGCUAUGUUGGCCGGGCGACGGUUGUCCCGGUUUAAGCGUGUAGGCUGGUUUUCCAGGCAAAUCCGGAAAAUCAAGGCUGAGGCGUGAUGACGAGGCACUACGGUGCUGAAGCGACAAAUGCCCUGCUUCCAGGAAAAGCCUCUAAGCAUCAGGUAACAUCAA